GUAGCGGUUGUCUCCCAAGCGCGCGGUUUCUUACUCUCUCCCUUUGAACUGGGAAAAUUAGCUUUGGGGAGUGAAGAGGGUAGUCAGUGGCCUGACGAUCACGUCUGGUGAGUUAGGCCGGCCUGAAGCCAGCCCCACACAUGCUAGGCUAGACCGGCCGAACCUUGAGAGAAGUGGGGCUAGCGUCCCGGGAGGGGUGAUCCGAAGGGCCGUGGCCCAAGGGCCCAAGUCCUGGAUCCGAAAUGUUCUUGAGCAAAGAACGGACUCAACCUCUCCAGUGGAUCACCCCUUCGGAGGUGGUGCCUGUCGCUGUGCUGGCUGUCCAAAGGUACCUGUUAGAGGAUGAGCCACGCGACGGGAUACCGAAACCGCCUCUUUACUGCUUUGAUGUGACGAUCUCCGACGGGGUGUACCAGGAGAAGUGCUACCUGGUCCUCAGCCUCAACGAUCUCGUAUACAAAAAUAUUCUGAAAGUUGGCAUAGAAAUGAGAAUUUCCAGAGUGUCGUGUCUUCACAACGAGAGAACAGGCCAGGGGAUCCUGUGCAUAGAUAGCAUCCACUGUGGGAAGACCUUGGACACUAUUUCUUUAGAAACUUCCUUUAGUAAGAGUGUGCACGAGGAGAUACAAAAGAGGCUUUGAAGGGGCGGUAGGAGUCAUUUACCUGGCGCUGUGGAAUAAGGAAGACCCGUAUGGAGAUAUCCGGCUAAGGAACAAGAAACUUGAGGAACACAGUUGUUAUGGUCGAGAAAGCGCAAGCACUGGUACCCCAGGGAAAGCCAGGAAAGCCAGGAAAACUAUAAGUGAUAAGUGGGAAGGUCAGCUAUGGAGAGAGAAAAAGUUUGGCUUAAUUCAACACCUACAUUACAGCUUUGUUUAUCCUGAAAGUAUUCCAUGGAAAUUUAUUUUUGAACACAGAAACUUUCUCAAUCAGCAGUAUAAUUCUCAGCCUGCAAAAUAUAUACCACCAGAAGGAAGGCUCCCAACACUUGAUGAAUUUAAGAGCGCCCGAAGCCUUGGACAUUUUGAAGUAACCAUCCUAGAAUCCCAUGGACAACUUAUGGUCAUCACAGGAGGGUCAGAGAUUCCAGAAGGCAUAAGAGGAGGCUGCUGAAACCUCAACAGUAAAGGACUCUCCAGGAGUCCCUACCAGGAGCGACUGCUGUUUUGGUAUCUGGAAAAAUUCUGGUGCCUUUUGCUUGUAGGGGGCCCUUUCAAGGUGGGCCAGUUUUUAAAUAGCAGCGUCAUUUAAAAUGGGCUUAUGUAACAUUUGCAAAUGAGGACUUGCCCACUGAGCCCACAAAGGUCUAUCAAAUGUUGGGUUUGUUUUAACAUUGUGGGUGCCAAGAGGGUCAGUAACUCAUCUUGGUAGUGUUAGUGAGGGAGCAGCCCUUGGUCUACCAAAUAAUCUUCAGGAAUUUAACCGAGGUGCCGUGGCCUAGCCCUACCUGAGGGCUGCCCAGGUACCCUGUGCGUAGCCAGGUAAAUGUGCAUCACGUCCCUUCCGAAGUGAAGGUGAAGUGACACUGCAGUGGAGGUCCUGUUGCUAUAGGCACUGAACAGAACACAUGAGCCAAAUCUAUCAUAGCAAAGCCUUUACCAGUUGCUGAUUGUUUGGAGGCAGUACUUUCAGUAACUCUGGGUGUGGGAUCUUAAUGGUAUUGAGGUAUUAAGUCUGUCAUAAUCUGUACUGAGAUGUCACUCAUUCUUUUGUAGUUUAAUAACAGGUCAAAUUGGGAAAGGUUAAAUGGAGGAGAAGUGGGUUAAAUCGCCCAUUCUCUGCAUGACCUACAUGUUCGAUUUUAAUCCUUACAGUCCCUUCGGGAAGGUGAAAUAGAAAAGUAGUGGGUAUAAUCACCUCUUCUCUAUGAAGAACUUACAUAAUGGGUUUCAAUCCCUUGGGGCACUGUUUAUUCUUCCGUAGCCCAAAGUAAGUAUUUUCAGUGGAGUUCAUCUGGUGGGUCCCGUUUGGUCAAGCCAAUUUAUAAGUGGCAAAGACUUAAUUUAACAUCAUUACCCACUGUGUCAGAGUGCCUGUGGCCACUGUGGGAUAUUUUAGGACAAUGGGUGCACUGUAGGAUAUUUUAGGACAAUGGGUGCUAUAACCAGGGGCAGUUGAGUCAAGGUAGUACUCCAACCCAUAAGGAAAGGCUAUUCAGUACCUCCUCUAAGGUUACGGGGUCUUCCUUUUAAAAUUUAGUGAGAUACUCAAGUAUUACCAUAACUUGAGCCCCAGUGUCAAUCAAGAACAAAAAGGUUUCCUAAAUAGUGCAUUUUAACAGAUUUUGAAGUUAAUUCACAAUCUGUUCGUACAGGUGUAAACCCUAUCAGCGUCUUUUUUUCUUGUGGUAAAAUUCACAUAACAUAAAUUCACCAUUUUAAAGGGUACAUGUCAGGGGCAUUUAGUGUGUUUGCAAUGUCUUGCAGCCAUCACCUGUGUCUAGUUCCAAAGUCUAUCAUCACCCCGAAAGGAAACGCCAUCCCACUUUCCCCUCCCCUGCCCCCAGGCUCUGGAAACCACUAAUGUACUAUCUCUAGAGAUUUACCUAUUCUGGAUAUUUGAUACCAAUGAAAUCAUACAAUAUAUGUGACCUUUUGUGUCUGGCCUCUCUCACUUAGCAUAAUGGUUUCAUGUUUCAUCCAUGGUGUUGCAUGUAUCCAUAUUUCAUUCCUUUUUAUGGCUGAAUGAUAUUCCACUGUACAGAUAUACCACUUUUGUGUACUUUUUCAUCAGUUGAUGAACACUUGGGAGGUUUCCCCUGUUUGGUUUGGUUACUGUCAGCAGAGCUGCUAUGAACAUUUGUGUACACAUUUUUGUUUGAACAAAUGCUUUAGAUUCUUUUGGGUCUAUACCUAAGAGUGGAACUGCUGAGUCAGUCAUACGGUAAUUAUACGUUUAACUUCCAAGGAACUGCCAAACUACUUUCCACUGUAACUGAAGAAUUUCACAUUCCCACUAUACUGUGCAAGGGUUCCAAUUUUUCCACAUCCUGGUCAAUUUGUUUUAAUUUCCAUUUGACAAAAGAAGUCCAUUAUACUCAUCCUUGUGAGUGUGCGUUGGCUUCACAUGGUGGUUUUCUUUGCAUUUCUCUAGUGACAUGAUAUCGAGCUGAUUUUCAUGUCCUUAUUGCAUAUGUGUAUAUCUUUUCUUGCAUUCAUAGGGGUCAUUUAAAAAAUAUAUUCUUAUUAGAGAGAACUCCAUGCCUAGGAUUUCUUUUCUUUUAGGUAUAUGUUGACUAGCCACCUGGGUAGGGAUUAUUAGAAUAUAACUUACAAAUUAAUACUUUUUUGUAAGGCAUGCCCACUUAUUGGAUAACAGAAAAUUAUUUUUUCUUUAGCGAUUUUGUUUCCAACCUAAGAGAAAUGGUAGAAAAUGUAUCAUUAUUUUUGUUAAAGCCUUGAGAAUUAAAAACUCCUCAUUUGGAUGUUUUAUAUCUUGAUAAUCCUUGGAAAGUCUUUAAUUUUUUAAAUAUGGAUUUGGAAUGAUUAACAUUUUUCCUUAUGUUAGUUUUAUUAUUGGCCAUAAAGGGUUAACUCAGCAAUCCUGGGUUGUUCAAACCGUGCACAUUUUGAAGAACAGCCUAUCUUCUAUCUUCUGGACCGAAUCUGAGUCUGGACUGAUGUCUGAGUCUUUGGACCAUGCUGUACCUAUCUGACCAGUUAAGUUAAUCCUAACAAUGUGAUUUAUUGUGAAUUCCUGUUUUUGCUCUGGUUACUGGACUGGAAUCUUGAGUGGCUGUGAUCAGUCACACAGGCACUGCAUGGUUAUAUGACUGAUCUUCAUUAAAAGUCUCCAAAGCUCAAGUUAACUUGCCUGGUUAGCACAUGUCAUUUCUAUUAAAAUUAGGUGAAUCUGCCCGUGACUCCUCUGGGAAGGGAUACUUGGAAGCUUGCCUCUGGUUUCUCUUGCGUUUUUCCCCAUGUACCUUUUUCUAUUGCUGAUUUAAUCUGUUUUCUUUCACUGUAAGAAACUAUACCCAUGAAGGUCUCUUCUGAUUUGGGAAUAAGAAGAGGAAUGGGGAUCUGGGUAGGUAAGGUCUAUCAACGUGCCUGUGUGACUACCCGAUAAUCUCUGGACACCAAGUUUCAGAUGAAGGUCCUUCAUUGGCAACACUUCACAUGUGUUGUCUCACUUUGUUGCUAGAGGAAUUUGAGCAUGUCCUUGUGAAAAUCCAUUAGGAAGGGACACUUGGAAGAUUGAGCCUGGUUUCUCCUUGACUUCACCCUGUGUACCUCUUCUCUUUGCAUAUUUUAACCUAUUUGACUUGAAUUUUCACUGUAAUAAACUGUAACUGGCAUAUCAGCUUUUUAAUUUCCUUGAGUCCUUAGAGCAAAUGAUUGAGCAUGAGUGUGAAACAGAUUAUGUAUUUUAACAUACAACACAUGGAAGAUAAUUUAUGUCAGGUUAAAUUGAGAUACUUGGUUAUUUGUGAAAGUGACCAAACUGAGAAUUUGGGGAUAGUUUGACAUAGGUGGGUAUUGUUGAGUUUCAUGCACUAAUCAUCAAAGAGAACAAAAAGGGUUAAGAGUGUGUGUGUGUGUGUGUGUG